rnacentral:misc_RNA from 1 species
UACGGAGGGAGCGAGCGUUAAUCGGAAUUACUGGGCGUAAAGCGCGCGUAGGCGGCUUUGUAAGUCGGAUGUGAAAGCCCAGGGCUUAACCCUGGAAUUGCAUUCGAUACUGCAUGGCUAGAGUAUGGUAGAGGGAAGUGGAAUUUCCGGUGUAGCGGUGAAAUGCGUAGAUAUCGGAAGGAACACCAGUGGCGAAGGCGACUUCCUGGGCCAAUACUGACGCUGAGGUGCGAAAGCGUGGGGAGCAAACAGG